rnacentral:rRNA from 1 species
UACGAAGGGGGCGAGCGUUGUUCGGAAUUACUGGGCGUAAAGGGCGCGUAGGCGGUCCUUCAAGUCAGGCGUGAAAGCCCCGGGCUCAACCUGGGAACCGCGCUUGAGACUGGCGGACUCGAGUUCGGGAGAGGAUGGUGGAAUUCCCAGUGUAGAGGUAAAAUUCGUAGAUAUGGGAAGAACACCGAUGGCGAAGGCAGCCAUCUGGACCGACACUGACGCUGAGGCGCGAAAAGCGUGGGGGAGCAAACAGG